rnacentral:lncRNA from 12 species
UCUGUCUCUUCAUUGUGCUGCUAAGUCGCCAGUGUGUCAUUUAUUUUGGCUCAUUUUUGUGGAAAUGAGAUUUAAAGAGGAGCUUGAUUGAAGCAUCUGAGGACACUCUUCUCUCCUACCCCAAACUUUGUUUCCCGCCCCCCCCCCAUCAGAGGAAAAAAAGGAGCUGAAAAUAAGAAUAAUUAAUGGACUAACAUAAGAAUAAGUAUGUGGAUCUAUGAACCUGUGAGUCUGCAUGCUUGUUUUCCUGGGCAUAGACAUAGCUCAGAAGAAGACCAUGGAUAUGGACCAUGGAGAUGUGCAAUAAAGAAUCUUCACUAUGACGCUGAUGGAACCACAGAGUCCAUGAGCCAGAUGCAACCUAGUGCAAAGUCUGGGGGAUGGAGAAAGUGUGGUGAAUGGAGCUUGUUCCCUCAACAUUAAUGAAUCCAUAGUUUUAGACUGUCUCCAAAAUAGGAGCAUAUAUUCACAUCCAUCAAGACCACCUAAUCUCAUCUGAGCUGCCAGAAUGACAAACGCUGCAUGAAUGACCCCAGACUAGACCAACAGAAGACCAUUCACUUCAACCUACCUCAAACUGCUUAUCCACGGAAUUAUGAGUAAACAAAAUGGUUGUUUUGAAUCACUGGGUUUGUUAUACAAAAAAUAGAUUAGUAAUAUAAUUUGUUAAACAGAAAUUAAUGAGUGUUUAAUAUGGGAAGCCUUGGACAUCUCAAAAAUAUUUGAAAGGCAAUUUAGCUCUAGUUUAAAUCUCUCAAGUUUUUGUUAUGAACCCUUUAUCAAUGUAGGUCCAUUGUUGUCAGAUAUGUAUUCUGAAUUUUUUCUGCCACUCCUUUGUUUAUGCAGACAUUGAGCAUGGGGAUGCCUUUUCUUGUUUCUUAGCCUGCCCAUAGCAAGCAGCUGUUCAAAAUCAACCUCCUUGUGGACGCCUGGGUGGCUCAGAGGUUGAGCGUCUGCCUUAGGCUCAGGGCGUGACCCCGGGGCCAGGGAUUGAGCGCCAAAUCAGGCUCCCUGCAUGGAGCCUGCUUCUCCCUCUGCCUGUGUCUCUGCCUCUCUCUCUCUCUCUCUGUCUCUCCCUGUGUGUCUCUCAUGAAUAAAUAAAUAAAAUCUUAAAAAAAAUAUUUUAAA